UUCUUAUCCAGAGAGGUGGAGGGUUCUGGCCCUGCGAAACCUCAGCAACCGGAAAAGAUCAGGCAGAUGCCUGUUCGAACCAAGGUGCUAAUUCCAGCAAGCUUGAAUGCUUGGGAGAUAAGAG
rnacentral:ncRNA from 2 species